ACUUAAAUAGCUUAAGAUAGAGUAUUUCAUUGAAGAUGAAAGGGUAAUAAUAAAAUUUUUAAGUA
rnacentral:tRNA from 1 species